UCAAAAGAGGCGCUAAUCAAAAUUGUUCCAAACGCCGUCGUUUAGCAAACCUCUUCCACCUUAAACCCAGAAACCUCUCUUUGCUUCAGCAGAAGCUUUCAAUGGCGUGCUUCGUUUCCUUAAGCUUCUCAAUUCCUCCUUGUUCUCUUCCAAACCCACUCAAGGUUAGAUAUCCAAAGAAAUCAGCUUCCUGCAGACUUCCAGGCCUGGGAAUCACCAAAACAGCAUCCUAUUUUCUGGUCCUCUGCUGCUCAAACAAAACCAUAUAUUCUGUCAAUGGUGAACAUUAUCUGACUACAAUGUCAAAGCCUUUUGAUGAACUUGUUUCAUGUAAUUUGAAUGCAAGUUCUUCUACCCGUAUCGUUAUAAUGGGUUAUUGGGUAGGACCUGAUGAUGAUGAUGAUUGGGGAUUUGUAGAAGCGUCUAUAUGUCGACCGGGAUAGUCGAUUCUUUGCAAACUUGCAUGAAUCUGGUGUUUUCCAAUUUUGUUCAUCCUUUUCAGAUACUUCACAGUUUUAAGGAACUAUAUGUAUAGCUUGGGAAAUUAUUGCGGAAGGGAUGAGUCCUUUGUUCAUGCAUUACUCUUCUAUGGAGUUUGCCAAAACGAUUCAAGGCUGCUAAAGGUGAAGUGGGCUCACAGGAAGCAGCUUUUUAGGCUCAGACUCCUAUCAGUUUAUAGGAUACAAAUCUAAAUUUCAUCCUUGUACAAAAAUGCAUGUUGCUCGGAUUCGGAUACGAGUUUGAGGUAUGAGUAUAUGUUUAGGGUUUAACUCCUCAA